AUGAGCUACCCUAUCCAGGUGCCAGGCCACGACGCCAUCAUCCCGAUGAUCGACCACUUCCUCUACCGCACCGCCGGCGGUGGCUCCCCGCCGUCUCUGGAGCGGCUCCCCCCUCUUGACGGGACCAUCGCCCAGCUCCAGGACCGAAUCAAGGCCCGGGCCAGUGACGACGCCACCACGAAUCAGCUUUUGCGCAGGGUGCGGGGCCUGGACCUAGGCGUCCUGUGCCGCGGAGGGGACGAGGUCGCCGUCGCAGAGCUCGAGAUCACCGGGUCCAUGGCGCCGCCCAAGCUCCACGUCCUGUGCCCGUCCACCUCUAGCAGCUGGGAGGUCAAGCAUCCGCCCAUCAUUCCCUGCGACGCCGCCAGGGAAUUUGAUCUGGGGGAGUUCUUGAGGUGCUUUGAUGCUCACGCGGUCGUCCCCUUCAGGAGCUACCUGUGCUGGGUCGAUUACUCCCUUGGUAUCUUGUUCUGCGAUGUGUUCGAUGAGAGCCCCAAGCUCCUACACCUGGAACUCCCAGCUAAAUUGCCCCAAUUGCAUCGCGAAGUCAUGGGCCGAGCAUGGGCAGAGGCAUACCACGCCGUCGGCGUCACAGAGGGCGAGGUCAUGAAAUUUGUCAAACUUGUCCGUGACAAGGACGAGUUCUCUGAAACCAUGGCGCCUGCCACCGAUGCUUUCACCAUCACCUCCUGGGCACUGAGAAUAACAGAAAGCGACGGCAUGAUGAAGUGGGAGCAGGAUGCAUUUCUCAGAUCCAGCGAGAUCGGGUUUGAUGGAUUCACACAUCUUCCUCGUACCCCAUUGGAAUUACCUCUCUUCAGCAUGUAUGAGCCCAGUGUCGUUUACUUCAUGAUCGGGCAGGACCAGGCGUCGUACAUGUAUAAUAAGGUAUGGAUUGUUGCCGUUGACAUUAGCAACGGCAAGGUGAAGUCUUCAUCUGCAUACAUCAAUGGUGUAGGACAGGUGGGGGACCUCUGUGGUGAGGAAGCGCUGUACUUUGCCAGAGAAAAACCCCAGUGUUACACUAGCUUUCUUACCUGCCGACUUCGCCAAGCACCUUAA
rnacentral:rRNA from 1 species